UGGGGAAUAUUGGACAAUGGGCGAAAGCCUGAUCCAGCCAUGCCGCGUGUGUGAAGAAGGUCUUCGGAUUGUAAAGCACUGUAAGUUGGGCGGAAGGGCAGUAAGUUAAUACCUUGCUGUUUUGACGUUACCGACAGAAUAAGCACCGGCUAACUCUGUGCCAGCAGCCGCGGUAAUACAGAGGGUGCAAGCGUUAAUCGGAAUUACUGGGCGUAAAGCGCGCGUAGGUGGUUUGUUAAGUUGGAUGUGAAAGCCCCGGGCUCAACCUGGGAACUGCAUCCAAAACUGGCAAGCUAGAGUACGGUAGAGGGUGGUGGAAUUUCCUGUGUAGCGGUGAAAUGCGUAGAUAUAGGAAGGAACACCAGUGGCGAAGGCGACCACCUGGACUGAUACUGACACUGAGGUGCGAAAGCGUGGGGAGCAAACA
rnacentral:rRNA from 1 species